rnacentral:rRNA from 1 species
UACGUAGGAAGCAAGCGUUAUCCGGAUUUACUGGGCGUAAAGCGGGUGUAGGCGGCCUGUCAAGUCCGGUGUGAAAUCUCCCGGCUUAACUGGGAGGGUGCAUUGGAUACUGAUGGGCUGGAGUGCAGCAGAGGAAAGUGGAAUUCCCGGUGUAGUGGUGAAAUGCGUAGAUAUCGGGAAGAACACUAGUGGCGAAGGCGGCUUUCUGGGCUGUAACUGACGCUGAGACCCGAAGGCGUGGGUAGCAAACAGGAUUAGAUACCCUGGUAGUCCACGCAGUAAACGAUGGAUACUAGGUAUAGGGAGUAUCGACCCUCUCUGUGCCGAAGCUAACGCUUUAAGUAUCCCGCCUGGGGACUACGGUCGCAAGACUAAA